ensembl:rRNA 5S_rRNA 5S ribosomal RNA
GUCUACAGCCAUACCACCCCGAACACACUCGAUCUUGGAAGCUAAGCAGGGUCCGGCCUGGUUAAUACUUGGAUGGGAGAAAGUCAGAUCCUGUAUACC